UGUUCACUCCUUGGAGCGCCAUGUAUC
rnacentral:piRNA from 1 species